rnacentral:rRNA from 1 species
GACGGAGGGUGCUAGCGUUGUUCGGAAUCACUGGGCGUAAAGGGCGCGUAGGCGGCCUUGCACGUCGGUUGGUGAAAGCCCGGGGCUCAACCCCGGAGGUGCGGCCGAGACUGCAGGGCUGGAGGCCGGAAGAGGAGGGUGGAAUACCCAGUGUAGAGGUGAAAUUCGUAGAUAUUGGGUGGAACACCGGUGGCGAAAGCGGCUCUCUGGUCCGGACCUGACGCUGAGGCGCGAAAGCGUGGGGAGCAAACAGG